rnacentral:rRNA from 1 species
GCCUGUUUAUCAAAAACAUGUCUUUUUGUGAAUAAUUUAAAGUCUAAUCUGCCCACUGAUAAUUUAUUAAAGGGCUGCAGUAUUUUGACUGUACAAAGGUAGCAUAAUCAUUAGUCUCUUAAUUGGUGACUUGUAUGAAGGAUUGAAUGAGAUAUAAACUGUCUUAAAGUUAAAAUAAAUUGAAUUUAAUUUUUUAAUUAAAAAGUUAAAAUAAAUUAAAAAGACGAGAAGACCCUAUAGAGUUUUAUAUUAAUUUAAAUUUAAUUUAUUUAUAAAUUUAAUAAGUAUAAAUUUAUUUUAUUAUUUUGUUGGGGUGAUAAAAAAAUAAAAAAAACUUUUUUUAAAAAUAUACAUAAAUAAGUGAUUUUUUGAUCCAAUUUUAUUGAUUAUAAGAAAAAAUUACCUUAGGGAUAACAGCGUAAUUUUUUUUUUUAGUUCUUAUAAGAAGGAAAGUUUGCGACCUCGAUGUUGGAUUAAGAUAAAAUUUAA